rnacentral:rRNA from 1 species
UACGUAGGGAGCAAGCGUUGUCCGGAAUCAUUGGGCGUAAAGCGCGCGUAGGUGGCCUCAUAAGUCCGUUGUGAAAGUCAAAGGCUCAACCUUUGAAAGCCGAUGGAUACUGUGAGGCUAGAGUACGGAAGAGGCGAGUGGAAUUCCUGGUGUAGCGGUGGAAUGCGCAGAUAUCAGGAGGAACCCCAAUGGCGAAGGCAGCUCGCCGGGACGUUACUGACACUAAGGCGCGAAUGCGUGGGGAGCGAACAGG